rnacentral:rRNA from 1 species
AAGUCGUAACAAGGUUUCCGUAGGUGAACCUGCGGAAGGAUCAUUAAAAGUAAAUAUGUAUUCUUAGGAAUAUGCAUUUCAAACCCAUCAGCGUAUCUUACCUGUUGCUUCCGUACUGCGUGGACUGCGGUCCCCUCUUGCCGUACCUCAGUACGGUUCCAGAGUGUCGGUACGGGAGGUAUACAUCAAACUCUUGCAUUUCGUGUCAUCAGUCUGAACUGUUUAUAAUAACAAGUUAAAACUUUCAACAACGGAUCUCUUGGUUCUCGCAUCGAUGAAGAACGCAGCGAAAUGCGAUAAGUAGUGUGAAUUGCAGAAUUCAGUGAAUCAUCGAAUCUUUGAACGCACAUUGCGCCUCCUUGUAUUCAGGGAGGCAUGCCUGUCCGAGCGUCAUUAAAAACCACUCAAGCUGUUGUGCUUGGUCAUGGAAGAAGAGUCCGCUUGUCGGUCACCCUUCCGAAAUACAAUGGCGGAAGGUCUCUGGUACCCGGCGUAGUAAUAACUGUUCGCCUUCUGUCUCGAGAUGUUCCUGCCGUCAAACCCCCAAUUUUUCUUAGGUUGACCUCGGAUCAGGUAGGGAUACCCGCUGAACUUAAGCAUAUCAAUAAGCGGAGGAAAAGAAACCAACAGGGAUUGCCUUAGUAACUGCGAGUGAAGCGGCAAAAGCUCAAAUUUGAAAUCUGGCGUCUUCGGCGUCCGAGUUGUAAUUUGGAGGGAUAUCUUCGGGAUUGGCGCCGUUUUAAGUGCCUUGGAACAGGACAUCGUAGAGGGUGAGAAUCCCGUGCCUGGAUGGCUGGCCAACUCCAUGUGAAGUGUCUCCGACGAGUCGAGUUGUUUGGGAAUGCAGCUCAAAAUGGGUGGUAAAUUUCAUCUAAAGCUAAAUAUUGGCGAGAGACCGAUAGCGCACAAGUAGAGUGAUCGAAAGAUGAAAAGCACUUUGAAAAGAGAGUUAAAAAGUACGUGAAAUUGUUGAAAGGGAAGCGCUUGCGACCAGACUCGAUCUUUGGUGAUCAGCCGGACUUCGGUUCGGUGCCCUUACCAUCGAUUGGGCCAGCAUCGGUUCUGACGGCUGGAUAAAAGGAGGAGGAAUGUGGCUCUCUUCGGGGAGUGUUAUAGCCUCCUCCACAAUGCCGCCAGUCGGGACCGAGGACCGCGCUUCGGCUAGGAUGCUGGCGUAAUGGUCUUAAGCGACC